CUCUACUCAUACACUAUAUUAUUUGAUCGACUGGUACACUUGCCAUAGCAAUAGAUUUGCAUGCAUCAAAAAGGCACCUGUUCUACUUGUAGAUAAGAUCUCUAAGAAGAAGACAGGCUAUAAGGGUUCAAAUAAAAAGAAAAAGAUGAACCCUAAGGCUAGCAUCUCUAAGAAGGCGAAGAGUGUUUCUACCAAAUAUGCUUGUUUCCACUGUGGGAAGGAUGGGC
rnacentral:lncRNA from 1 species